UGGGGGAUAUUGCACAAUGGGCGAAAGCCUGAUGCAGCGACGCCGCGUGGGGGAUGAAGGCUUUCGGGUUGUAAACCUCUUUCGCUAUCGAACAAGGCCCGCUUAGGGUGGGUUGAGGGUAGGUGGAGAAGAAGCGCCGGCUAACUACGUGCCAGCAGCCGCGGUAAUACGUAGGGCGCGAGCGUUGUCCGGAAUUAUUGGGCGUAAAGGGCUUGUAGGCGGCUUGUUGCGCCUGCUGUGAAAACGCGGGGCUUAACUUCGCGCGUGCAGUGGGUACGGGCAGGCUUGAGUGUGGUAGGGGUGACUGGAAUUCCAGGUGUAGCGGUGGAAUGCGCAGAUAUCUGGAGGAACACGGAUGGCGAAGGCAGGUCACUGGGCCAUUACUGACGCUGAGGAGCGAAAGCAUGGGUAGCGAACAGG
rnacentral:rRNA from 1 species